rnacentral:rRNA from 1 species
GAUGAACGCUGGCGGCGUGCCUAAUACAUGCAAGUCGAGCGAACAGAUGAGGAGCUUGCUCCUCUGACGUUAGCGGCGGACGGGUGAGUAACACGUGGAUAACCUACCUAUAAGACUGGGAUAACUUCGGGAAACCGGAGCUAAUACCGGAUAAUAUAUUGAACCGCAUGGUUCAAUAGUGAAAGACGGUUUUGCUGUCACUUAUAGAUGGAUCCGCGCCGCGUUAGCUAGUUGGUAAGGUAACGGCUUACCAAGGUAACGAUGCGUAGCCGACCUGAGAGGGUGAUCGGCCACACUGGAACUGAGACACGGUCCAGACUCCUACGGGAGGCAGCAGUAGGGAAUCUUCCGCAAUGGGCGAAAGCCUGACGGAGCAACGCCGCGUGAGUGAUGAAGGUCUUCGGAUCGUAAAACUCUGUUAUUAGGGAAGAACAAAUGUGUAAGUAACUAUGCACGUCUUGACGGUACCUAAUCAGAAAGCCACGGCUAACUACGUG